UACGAAGGGGGCUAGCGUUGCUCGGAAUUACUGGGCGUAAAGGGCGCGUAGGCGGAUAGUUUAGUCAGAGGUGAAAGCCCAGGGCUCAACCUUGGAACUGCCUUUGAUACUGGCUAUCUUGAGUUCGGGAGAGGUGAGCUGGAACGUCCGAGUGUAGAGGUGAAAUUCGUAGAUAUUCGGCGAAGACACCAGUGGCGAAGGCGGCUCACUGGCCCGAUACUGACGCUGAGGCGCGAAAGCGUGGGGAGCAAACAGG
rnacentral:rRNA from 1 species